UCCAUUUUGCCCGGGCCCUUAGAAUUAUUUACAGCAAAUAAAUAAACUCAAGAAGAAAAUUAAAAACCAAAAUAAAAAAAAAACCAAUAAAUAAAGUCCAAUUUGUAACAGUCCAGUAAGUCCAUUAAAUACAAAGCCGAUUGGCUUAAUAUUUUUACAGACCCGAAUACAAAGGCCCAAAUGCAAAACAAUAUAUAUAUAACCCCAACCUAAUGGCCCAAUGGCCCAAUCCUAAAACGAGACCAAAUGGCCUAAAUUUUGGUUUCAGAAACUGAAACCCUAGGACCAGCGCCGUAGCUUCGUCAACAAGGGUCCCCAGCUCAUCAUUGCCACGUCCGCAGUCCUCUCCGUAUGGUGGUUUACCUGCAAAAAGAAAUAGAAUAACAGCAAAGAUGGGAGCAAAAAUGUACAGCAAAUGACAGAGAUUAACAAAUAGCAGUGAAUAAAAGAAAAUAUAAAAAUUAUUUUGUAAUUUCAUUUUUUCGGCUAUAUAAAGCCGAUUGUAAAUAGUGUACAGGGAUCUUUUUCACAUAUUUUACGUAUACAUACAAAUACAAAAAAGAAAAUAUACUCAGAAAGAAAAGGUGAUUCUCGAUUGAUUUUAGUUUUCAAGCUUUUUUUAUUAUUUUUAUUUAUUUUAAUGUAUGAAAAGAAGAAAAGAAAGGAAUACUUACCUCUAUGUUUAGCCUUCGUCGAUUGGGCUUUUCGUUGGAAACAAGGACCUUUGGAGCGUAAUCGGCCACCGGAUAUGGUGGUGGUUCGGCGACGGCGUGAUUUUUGGGUCAAAACCCUAGCAGAAAAAUGGGGGCAUUCUUUUUUUUUUUUAAAAAAGGGUCAAGAAACCAAA
rnacentral:lncRNA from 1 species